UACGUAGGGGGCUAGCGUUGUCCGGAUUUAUUGGGCGUAAAGAGCGUGUAGGCGGCCAGAUAGGUCUGCUGUGAAAACUCGAGGCUCAACCUCGAGAUGUCGGCGGAAACCAUUUGGCUAGAGUCCGGAAGAGGAAAGAGGAAUUCCUGGUGUAGCGGUGAAAUGCGCAGAUAUCAGGAGGAACACCGGUGGCGAAGGCGGGUCUCUGGGCCGAUACUGACGCUGAGGAGCGAAAGCGUGGGGAGCGAACAGG
rnacentral:rRNA from 1 species